rnacentral:lncRNA from 1 species
CUUCAAAGUAUGUAUCAUGGCCAAACUAAUAGAUUAAAAACAAAGGAAAAUAACUGCCCUUCAUACACUACUGUGGGUGUGUUAAAGAAAUCACAAUUUAGAUGACAGAAAAAAAAAUGGUCAAAUGAAAAACUACUGAUACUUUCUCAUAUCAAUUUAUCUUCCUGGCAUAUUAAACAUCUUUAUGUAUAUAUUUUUGUUUAAAAAAGAAAAGACCUGGAAUCCCCAAAAUGACUAAAUCUAGUAAAAUUGGAGAAGCUAUCAACCUCCACUUUUCAUAAAUAAUAAUUAAAUUUUGCUCAUAAUUUUUAGGUUUUGCAUGAGACACUAAUUUUCUUAUGCACUCCAAAGUCAAUGAAAAUAUCCCCUUAAGAAUUUUAAUGUUUCCUAAGGCAAUUAAAAUAUAGUACUUGAAUAAUGGUAAGCUUAAUGUCCUCGAGAAAAGAUAGAGUGUCUUAGUUUAUAUUUCCUUUUAUGUAAAUCCACUUUGGAUUUAAAGGUAAUGU